rnacentral:rRNA from 1 species
UACGUAGGGGCAAGCGUUGUCCGGAUUUACUGGGCGUAAAGAGCGUGUAGGCGGCCACGCAGGUCCGUUGUGAAAACUGGAGGCUCAACUUCCAGCCGUCGACGGAAACCGUGUGGCUAGAGUCCGGAAGAGGAGAGUGGAAUUCCUGGUGUAGCGGUGAAAUGCGCAGAUAUCAGGAAGAACACCAAUGGCGAAGGCAGCUCUCUGGGACGGUACUGACGCUGAGACGCGAAAGCGUGGGGAGCAAACAGG